GGGGGUAUAGCUCAAUUGGAUAGAGCAACGGCCUUCUAAGCCGUAGGUUCUGGGUUCGAGCCCCAGUACUCCCGCCA
rnacentral:tRNA from 1 species